GCUGAUUCUCUCCCAUUAUAUUGUGCUUUUAUGUGUCCAUGAGAGGCUAUCAUUAGUUUGGUAUCUUUACUGCCACCUUCCUCUUAUCCUCGAUCUUCGUUCAUUAGUCAGAGUGGAGAGAUUUGAACCCUUAUCUUAUUCUUUGAUGCUGUUUAGUGGCUGAUUUAUACUUGCUGCCAUUGAGCUUUGUUGAGGAUGGCAAAGUUUCUGUACGAAGAGAAACAGGGCCGUUUGAAAGGAAACAACAGCAUCUAAGUACUUUUCACUCACACCUUCUUAUAUAUGUGUGUGUCUAUAUAUGCACACGUACAUAUAUGCAUAUAUGCUAUAUAUACACUUCAAUAUGGUUGCGUAUAAUAAGUUUCUAUGUUUCAAGUUGUAUUUCUUUGUUCUUUUAAAUUAAGAUUAUGUUGAGUCAAUACAUAACUUGAGACGUUCCUUCAUCGAAGAAAGUUGUAUCCUU